rnacentral:rRNA from 1 species
GACGUAGGGCGCGAGCGUUGUCCGGAUUUAUUGGGCGUAAAGAGCUCGUAGGCGGCUUGUCGCGUCGACUGUGAAAACUUGGGGCUCAACCCCAAGCCUGCAGUCGAUACGGGCAGGCUAGAGUUCGGUAGGGGAGACUGGAAUUCCUGGUGUAGCGGUGAAAUGCGCAGAUAUCAGGAGGAACACCGGUGGCGAAGGCGGGACUCUGGGCCGAUACUGACGCUGAGGAGCGAAAGCGUGGGGAGCAAACAGG